rnacentral:rRNA from 1 species
UGGGGAAUUUUGGACAAUGGGCGAAAGCCUGAUCCAGCAAUGCCCGCGUGUGUGAAGAAGGCCUUCGGGUUGUAAAGCACUUUUGUCCGGAAAGAAAUCCUUGGCUCUAAUACAGUCGGGGGAUGACGGUACCGGAAGAAUAAGCACCGGCUAACUACGUGCCAGCAGCCGCGGUAAUACGUAGGGUGCAAGCGUUAAUCGGAAUUACUGGGCGUAAAGCGUGCGCAGGCGGUUUGCUAAGACCGAUGUGAAAUCCCCGGGCUCAACCUGGGAACUGCAUUGGUGACUGGCAGGCUAGAGUAUGGCAGAGGGGGGUAGAAUUCCACGUGUAGCAGUGAAAUGCGUAGAGAUGUGGAGGAAUACCGAUGGCGAAGGCAGCCCCCUGGGCCAAUACUGACGCUCAUGCACGAAAGCGUGGGGAGCAAACAGGAUUAGAUACCCUGGUAGUCCACGCCCUAAACGAUGUCAACUAGUUGUUGGGGACUUCAUUUCCUUAGUAACGUAGCUAACGCGUGAAGUUGACCGCCUGGGGAGUACGGUCGCAAGAUUAAAACUCAAAGGAAUUGACGGGGUCAUAGCUGUUUCC